AGAAUCAACGCUGGCGGCGUGCCUAACACAUGCAAGUCGAACGCGAGGACCUCGCAAGAGGUUAGUAGAGUGGCAAACGGGUGAGUAACACGUGGGUGACCUGCCUUAGAGUGGGGGAUAACGUCCCGAAAGGGACGCUAAUACCGCAUAACAUCCUGCCUUUGAAGAGGUGGAGAUCAAAGCUGGGGACCGCAAGGCCUAGCGCUUAAAGAGGGGCCCGCGUCUGAUUAGCUAGUUGGUGGGGUAAUGGCUCACCAAGGCAACGAUCAGUA
rnacentral:rRNA from 1 species